UACGUAGGGGGCUAGCGUUGUCCGGAAUUAUUGGGCGUAAAGAGCUCGUAGGCGGUCUGUCGCGUCGGAUGUGAAAACCCAGGGCUCAACCCUGGGCCUGCAUUCGAUACGGGCAGACUAGAGUUCGGUAGGGGAGACUGGAAUUCCUGGUGUAGCGGUGAAAUGCGCAGAUAUCAGGAGGAACACCGGUGGCGAAGGCGGUUCUCUGGGCAUUACCUGACGCUGAGGAGCGAAAGUGUGGGGAGCGAACAGG
rnacentral:rRNA from 1 species